rnacentral:snRNA from 1 species
AAAACUUUUCCAAAAGAAAAAAUCUGUUCUUAUCAGUUUAAUAUCUGAUACGUCCCCCAUCGGGGGACUACUAUUAAAUGGAUUUUUCGAACAGGGAGUCGGAAAUGGGGCUUGCUCCGUCCGCUCCACGCAUCGACCCGGUAUUGCAGUACCUCCGGGAACGGUGCAACAUUU